CCCACUGAGCCUGGCACGGGAGAGGAUUUCCUUGUCUGCUGGUUGCUAAGACCUUGGGAAAAGUGAAGUAUUUGGGCAGAAGUGUCCCGUUUUUUCCAGGUUCUUCAGCCUCCGUACUCUGGGACAUGCACCAGCAGCUUUCCAGGGGUUAUCAGGUCUUCAGGCACAGGCUGAAGCACUGUCGGUUUCUCUGGAUUUGAGGCUUGUGAACUUGGAUUGAGCCACUACCAGCUUCUCUCUUUCCUUGGCUUGCAGAUGGCCUAUCAUGGGACUUCACCUUGUGAUCAUGUGAGCCAAUUCUCGCUAAUAAACUCUUUCUUAUAUAUA